GCUCUUGAGACACCAGGUGCUGUGGUAACUAUAUAUUUACAUAUUGCAGAUUACAGUAGUAAAUGUUGCAGGUUGGCUACUCCCAUAAUGCCAAAGACUCAUGGCCAUCGUAACUGGAAGGUAACUGUGAGACCAACACACAGACGCUGUGCACUUUAAAUGAAAAAUAACUCUCAAAGUGUUUUUCUCUGGCCCACGAUGAAGCUUCAACAGUACAACGUCAAUACAAAUUUUUAAUAUGCCAUAAAACACAGUUUCUAAAUAUCUAAUUUCACACAUUAUACAUAUUUAAAUCUGCUACCCUCAGUAACACAUUACAUAUGUUAAUAUUUCACAUACAGGAGCAUCUAUCUAUGACAAAAUUUGCCUUUGACAUACUUGAUUCUGACAUGAUAAAUAAAUUUAGUUCCUAUUUUCUCAGUUAAAAAAGGAUGUGUGUGGAAACGGAGAAGUCAGUAAGCAUUUUAUAGGUUGACUUUAGACAGUUUGCUAAAAAAUGUUUUGCUCUAGGAAAUGAAAAACAAAGAGAAAACACAUGAACAGAGGACUGCAUUGCCCACUCAGUGAUAUAACAUAAAAUUGUAGUUGUGUAACUUUCAGCAUAGUGGGUUCUUUAUACCCUCUAUGAACAGGGGAACUGGUGGCUGCGGUGUGUCAGUAUACACACGCAGAUAUAAGUACUUGGUGACAAGUGACUUCACCUCCCCAGCCCCAUAUUAACCUCAUAGUUCCUCAUAGUUGAACGAUUAUCUUUUCAGUUGUAAUGAGAGAUGUCACUUAAUCUGUGUGUCUAACACAAUUCAACUUUAUAUAGACUUUGUGUUUCUUCUUCUUUGUGUUUUAUCUCCAGUGUUUGCCCAAAUCACAUCACAAUUAUCUUUGCAAGAAGCACAAUACAGAUAAGGUGACGGACAAUUUAUUUACUUUGUACAUGCGAUUUGCAAUUGUAACAUACAGCGUUUCAUAUAUGGUCCAAACCAUCAUAUCAAACCUAAUAAAAACAUUACAAGAGAACUUGUACAUGUUCAGCAUGACAAAGAAAUUGAAUGUCAUUGCUGCGGUUGAAUGACAUGAAGCAGAAUUUAGUUUUGAAAAUAUAUCAGAUAUUUCCAAACAGAGUAUGAACGUCUACCAUAUAUUUGUGCACCCACACUUAAAAUUGCAUAGGGGAUGUCAACAUGCCUACAU
rnacentral:lncRNA from 1 species